rnacentral:rRNA from 1 species
GACGUAGGGGGCGAGCGUUGUCCGGAUUUAUUGGGCGUAAAGAGCGCGUAGGCGGCUCGGAAAGUCGGAUGUGAAAACCCGGGGCUCAACCCCGGGCCUGCAUCCGAUACUCCCGGGCUGGAGGCAGGUAGGGGAGAUCGGAAUUCCUGGUGUAGCGGUGAAAUGCGCAGAUAUCAGGAGGAACACCGGUGGCGAAGGCGGAUCUCUGGGCCUGUCCUGACGCUGAGGCGCGAAAGCUAGGGGAGCAAACAGG